UGUUAAAGCCAUGAAACAUUGUUUUGCAGGCUGAUCUCUUUCUAGCACCACAGAUCCAUGGAGCAAUCAACAGAUUCCAGAUUAACAUGGAACCGUACCCGACUCUUGCAAAGUGUUACGAGUCAUACAAUGAUCUUCCUGCUUUUCAAAAUGCUGUCCCAGAGAAGCAGCCAGAUGCUCCUUCCACCAACUGAUUCUGCGAACCGUAAGCUGCUCUCAGCUCAAUAGUCAAUAAUACCUCGCAGUCAACAACAACAAUGAUGAUAAUAAUUACUUGUAUUCAUAUUAUCGUAUAUGUAUCAUAGUACUUCUUAGUUCCUCUACUUGUAUUAUACAAUAAAGGUCUUAAGAGUUUGACAUUUGCAAAGAUAA